rnacentral:rRNA from 1 species
UCGAGAAUUUUUCUCAAUGGGGGAAACCCUGAAGGAGCGACGCCGCGUGGAGGAUGAAGGUCUUCGGAUUGUAAACUCCUGUCAUUGGGGAACAAUGCUUACGCGUUAACUGCGCGUGAGUUGAUAGUACCCGAAGAGGAAGAGACGGCUAACUCUGUGCCAGCAGCCGCGGUAAUACAGAGGUCUCAAGCGUUGUUCGGAUUCAUUGGGCGUAAAGGGUGCGUAGGCGGCGCGGUAAGUCGGAUGUGAAAUCUCGGAGCUUAACUCCGAAACUGCAUUCGAUACUGCCGUGCUUGAGGACUGGAGAGGAGACUGGAAUUUACGGUGUAGCGGUGAAAUGCGUAGAUAUCGUAAGGAAGACCAGUGGCGAAGGCGGGUCUCUGGACAGUUCCUGACGCUGAGGCACGAAGGCCAGGGGAGCAAACG